rnacentral:rRNA from 1 species
AUGAUGUAUUUGGGAGGCAGUGAAGCUAUGUCAGACAUUGACAGAGAUAAGCUUUCUUUGCCCGAGCUUUUGGGGCAUUUAAGAGAUCAUUGCACUGAUGUGGAGGGGAUACAAUGUCAGUUUUAUUGGUUAGUUCCAGGAAAAGAGAUGAAUGAUGGACUUGUUUUUCUGCAUGAUAACAACACUGUUCUUAAGAUGGCUGAGUUUGUUUGUGAUGGAGGAGUUGCAGAUGUGUAUGUUGAGAAGCAUGCUCCUGCUGAUGAGGAAGAAACAGUUGCAACAGCAUGCUCUGCUGGAGAGGAAGAGGAACAGUUCACCCCUUUAAGUGUAGUUAUGCCAGAAGAGCAAGUGCCCAGUGAUUAUAUACCUGAUGAUGAGUCAGCAUCUGAGGAUGAUGAAGAAGCAAGAAAGAUCAAUGCUGACUAUGUAGAGUACAAGAAGAAACUCAGGGCUGGCAACAUUGACAUUUUAGAUGAAAUGUUCAUUAUAGAUGCAGCAGUAGGUUCAAGGGAAAAUGUUGGAGAGGAUGCAGCUGCUGAAAGCUACUCAGACAGCUCAGAUUUUGAUGACUCUUUUGAAGAAAACAGUGAUGGAGAGGCUGUCAGCAACCCAAAAAAAUAUCCUGUGUACAAAGACAGAGGAGAAGUACCAGAGUUCUGUCUUGGAAUGAAAUUUGAAUCAAAGGAAGAGUUCAGAAAAGCAAUAAUUACUUAUGGACUGCAUCACAGAAGGUUAAUUAGGUUUAAGAAAAAUGAUUCUGUAAGGUGCAGAGCAGAGUGUGAUUGGGGGACAUGUCCCUGGUUCUGUUUACUAAGUAGGACAAGUAGGUGCAAUAGUUGGCAGGUGACAUCUUUCAUAGAUAAACAUUAUUGCCCAAAAAGGAAGGACAACAAGCUGGUCACUUCAGUGAGGAUUGCACAAAAAUAUGAUAAGCUCAUUAGAGGCCACCCAGGAUGGAAGAUUGACAGCUUGAAAGCACUGUGCAAGAGGAUAUGUUUGCAAAUGUGA